UGGGGAAUAUUGCACAAUGGAGGGAACUCUGAUGCAGCGACGCCGCGUGAGUGAUGAAGGACUUCGUUUCGUAAAACUCUGUUCUAUGGGAUGAAAAGGACUGUACCAUAGGAGAAAGCUCCGGCUAAAUACGUGCCAGCAGCCGCGGUAAUACGUAUGGAGCGAGCGUUGUCCGGAAUUAUUGGGCGUAAAGGGUGCGCAGGCGGCUUUACAAGUUGGAUGUGAAAUAUUGUGGCUCAACCACAAACGUGCAUCCAAAACUGCAAAGCUUGAGUUAAGGAGAGGUAAGUGGAAUUCCUGGUGUAGCGGUGGAAUGCGUAGAUAUCAGGAGGAAUACCGGUGGCGAAGGCGACUUACUGGACUUAAACUGACGCUCAGGCACGAAAGCGUGGGGAGCAAACAGG
rnacentral:rRNA from 1 species